UGAAAAAUAUCAAUUUAUAGCAUAUGCUUGGACAAUUUUAUUUUUUUGAACAGCAGCCACCUCAUUUCUGGUCUCUCUCAAAUUCACUAUUGAUAUCUUCAUCUGUCUUUGUUCGUCUUCUCUGAAGGCUUGAUCUUCAGGUCAGUAUUAUAUCUCUUUGCUCUAUUUACUUUUUUUUUUGUGUGUGUGUUCGGAGUAUUUGAUUUAAACCUAGGGUUAGAAUCUGGUAAUAUAUGUAUUUUCCAAUUUGUAUUCAUAGUAAUUGAACCUAACUUCCUAUAGCGUUCUUGCGAUAUAUCGAAGGUACAGGGGUUCAAUUUAGUUAGUUGUUAUCUUGCAUUCAAUUACUUCACAUGGAAUGUUUUGAGCUCUAUGCAUUCAAUUUGGUUUCGUUGAACAAAGGAAAUCCUAAUACAAUUUUGUUAUUAUUUAGUACUAAUCCACUACGCCGGACAAUUCAUGAUGAAUCCUUGUAAUACAGAUGUUGCUGUUGUUGCUAUAUAAACCGUUUGACAUUGAUCAAGCUCAUUUAUGUAUCAUUUGCUAUUGAUGGUUAUAUGAUUUGAUUUGUUGGAGCUGCACCAUCCUAAGCAGAUUAUAUUAUUAGGUUUUGGUUGUGAGCGUUCUGUUUGGAUAAAUUAUCUGGGAUUGAUUCUUGAUGUAAUGACAUCAGAAAGUAGUACAUUCUACAUAGAAAUUUAUUGCUCAAUUUUGUAUUUUCAUGUGAGUCAUAUUGGUAAAUAUCAGUUUCAGAGUGCAUACAGAUCUUUGUUGUUUCUGGCUACAUUUUGAUCUUUAUACCGUUCUAUAGUAGCAUAAAGAGGAAACAAAAACGUCUUUCAUUUACUACAUUUUCUUAGCUAAAAGACUGGAAAUUUUACGAUAUUGUUAAUCUUCUUUGCUUCAUGAUUCACAACUCUAAGCAUUAGUUAUAUGAUAUAGUUGUUACAAAUUACCAACUUCUUACUACAUCUGAAUGUUUCUCAAAACACUUCUUAUUUUGAUAAAUAUUAGAUAUUGAAGCUUUGCAAGUUGCUCAAAAGAGUUUGGUUACUCUGUGUUUUACCUGGCUGAAUUUCAUUUGUGAUUGGUAUAUGAUUCGGGAAAUUUAGGAAUCUUAUGGCGGAUAGGGCUUGAAAGGCACUCAGCUGACUACUUAUGUCUGUGUAUGCUAAAAAGGGUAUUUCAAGUUUGUAUCCUCCAGUUUGUGCAACGCCUAUGUUUGUUGAACUUGAGUCUGUGGUUGUGGGUAGCCCUAAGACACUUAGAGAUUAUGAAGAAUGAAAAGAAGUGGAGGAGGGACAGGAGGUAGGGUCUACACUCUAUUGUUGGGAGUAGAGAGGCCUGACGUCUAAGUGCAUAUACCUUAAAGAUGACUGAACCUAAUACUGAAAGUUUUCAAACAAUUGCAGCCUCACCUAUUCUUCAAAAUAAAACUUGCAAUUGCUCCAUAAGGAGGUGGAUAGUUUAAUACAAGAGCAGCAUACUUAUAUUGUGGAUCUUGGAACAAACAGUCAGGAAGACAAAUAAAGCAAGCUGGCACGACCAAUUAAAACAUGUUGCUUGUGAACUGAUAUAGUCUUGCAUUUCUUUUUCUCCUAUAAAAAUUAUUAUUUUACUCCCAUAAGAAAAACAUAUUAUACUUCAAAUAGUCCGAGAAAAGUGGAGUUGUGGGACAAUUGGUGUAGAACCAAUGAAUGUACAUGCUUCGUGUGCUGAGUUCAUUACCCCAGUCAGUGGAAAUGCAAUCUGCUUCAUAUAAACAGAUAUAUAGAUAUUCUAAUUUGUUAAUAUUAGUUGCUUCAUAUUCAAUUUGUUGCUGUGGCUUCAUAUAUUGUAUUUUGGCCACAAAGUAACACAAAAAUUUAAAAGGAAAAAUAAAGACUAUUGCUUUGAUGGUAAACUGGAGUAAUAUUUAUAAUAGCUGCACAAAUCUAACUACUAGGUCCUAUACGUGCAGGGAAUACUAGCAAAUAGUUAGUUAUUUGAGACGGAUAGUUGAAAUAUUGAUGACUUCUCAUGUGGAAUCAGUCAAAACUAAGGUUCAGUCCUUCUUAGCAAGCCAUAAGAUAUUAAUAGGUCUAAAUCAAAAAGGUAACUACAAUGUUAAAUGAAGAAACAGCUUAGAGUAUUUGCGUACACCUUAUAGUUAUUCUUAUCCAACAAUAUAUCAAAAGAUAUUAGGAUAUAAAAGACAAAACCUUCACACUUUUUUCCACUAUGUCUAGAGUUGAGAGUGGUAUAUAUGUCAAAGUGAUAAUUUAGGAUAUUGAUUCGGGAUCCAAAAUAAGCAAAGAAUAUUCUGGAGAUCCUCUGUAAUGAGGAAUUGCAAAACAGUUUGAGUCCAUGCUGCCUUGGUACACACAAGGCAUUCCUUUUUGUUAGAACUACUUUACUUAAGAGAUAUAUCACAUAAUCAAAAAGGUAAUAUAGGAACCCUAUUUCGAAGGAGUCCUACUGUGAAUGCUAGGUAAAAGAUUUUGUUAACAAUAGCAGGGCCAACUUGGCCGUAUACAAGAGUAUACCAAAAAAGAGAAACCUCCAAUAGGCACCCAAUUCUUUAUACAAACAGGAAUUCAUGGGUGCACCCAAAAAAAAUUAAGGGAUCGGAGAGUACUCAAAUGAGCAAAGCUCAUCUCCGCCCCUUCAAAAGCUCCCCUAUUUCUCUCCCUCCAAAUGGCCCACAUUAAAACUAGAGGAGUAACAUUCUAAUCCUUGCGUCUUCUUCUCCUAGCUCACGGAUUUUGGCAUUACCCAAGUAACACCAAACCAUCUUAAGAUAUCCUCCCAUGACCUUGUAGCUAAUUUGCAAUGUGUGGUCCACAUCCUCACUCACCUCCAUUUAAAGGAAACAGUAGCUCGUAAAUACAACCUUUUGUUUCUUAAGAUUCUCUGCUAGCAAAAUCGCCCCUCUAGUAGCUAAGCAUAGAAGCACACGUUUCUGGGCAUCUCAGGAAUCCAGGCCGAGGCAUGUGGAAAACUAAUUCUGCCCUGACCAGAAGCUUCUCAUCGAAUGACUUAACUGAGAGCCAAUUGUUAUUCCCAACUCCAACUCCAACUCCCAUCAUCGGGUCUGUUAAUCAGCUGGAAGACCUUCAACGUUACAAGUUAAAAAAAAGUUUCAGUGGGAUAUUGUGUAUUCAGUUGAUUGUAUACAAAGAUAUAUUAUUACAAUACAUGUUCGUAUGCAUUUGCUUUCCAGGACUAUCUACAUAAUAUGGUUCUUAGUUUUUAGGAGUUCAAGAAAUUUGCUACUUCAUCAAAAGUGUUUUUUUGGGAUCCGAUGCGGACACAGAUCAGAUUUAGAUGUGUCACAUAAUGCAUGUUAUUCUAGUUUAUGUGUUGUUUUCAGCAUUCCUAUAGAUUAUUCUAACCAACAGUUAACACAUUAUUAGCAGCAUACAGUUACUUAGCUUUUAUUUUCAGAUAUACUAGAUCAUAUGCACUGUCCUUGUGGAAGUAAAAGUUAAUAUUCAAACUGUUUCCUCUAUUUCUUCAAGUAAUGAUGUUGCAAAAGUUCUAUUUCAAUUUACUCUAAAUUAGAACUUCAAAAUAGUUUUAACUAUAUCAGUUGGCCAUCUGAUAAUCACCACCUCCUGUUAGCAUGUGUACAAGAUGAAGCUCUGUGAAAGAGUGAGAAGUUAAUCAUGUAAUUUACUAUAUUGGUUAUUUCAAGUAUGCUAAUGCAGAGUUGAGUGUAUACGUUGUGUGAGAAUAUUUAAACCAACUUUUUGGCACUCUAAAAGAAAUGGUUAUGGUGAUACAGCAACCACUACCUUUACCAUAAUAAUCAGGUUUUGAGACCUGUGACUUAGUGCCAAAAUAGUUCCUUGCUUCCGGUAUGAUUGCACGGAAGCAGAUGAGCCGCACAAUCACUUGUUGAGUGCCUCUGCUGGUAAGAGCUGUUGUAAUCUGGCUUUUGCUUUUGUGUACUUGAACUUCUAAAACUAAUUAAGAUUUAGAACACUGUGAUACACAUGUUUAUCUGGCAAUAUUCAUUUUCAAAACAGAAAACUAUGAUAAAAUAGCAAUUAUCUACAUGCUUGAUUUUUGUUAAUUUAUAUGGAUUUUUCUUAACGAAAUCGGUAAGAAUAUCUCAAUCAUGCCCCUCAAUUGGUAACACUACUUAGUGAUUGUUGAGUGCUGGUAAUUUUGCUACUUUUAUGUCUUUCAUUCCCUUGUAAUGGACUUCAUAGAUCUUUUUAUUCUUCUUGUUUGUUAGCUUUCUGACUGGAUUAAUUACUUUUGCAGGAAAUUGUGGAUACCUUACCAUACGACAAAACUGUUGAUUUUCUGAGGUUUCUCAUAGAACUCUACCAACUCACGGAUAUCAAGAAACUUGAAAAGCAAAGAGGCAUAGAGAAAGCCUUGCUUUGAAGUGUUUAACGUGGAUUAAACCC
rnacentral:lncRNA from 1 species